GGGUACUCGUCCUCGUCAACAACGUAGAAAAUAUUUUUCUUUUUGUUGGCCUUGUUGUAGGACGAGUUCUGGCAUGGCUCUUGAUGAGUCUUUGUUGCCAUUGAUGCCGCUUAUUUCAUCGCGUUAUGUUGGUUUAGGAACGCUUGCUUGUCUUUCUCCACUGUUUUACAAUUAUUCACACAGCGGAGGGCAUCUUGGAGAAUAAUAGGCGUGUUAACGUAGAGAUCAUCUCAGACUUUAGAGUGUACACAGAGGGCGUUUCGUAGGGCAUCUACUGCUAUCUGGUCUGGGACAUAUACCUUAGACACCAUGUGCUUAAACUUUUCCAAAUAUUUGAAUUUCUCUGGGAUUCUAGGACAUCUUCAAUAGGUUAGGCGUUGAGGCUCCCUAGCGAGUGAAAAUUAUGUAGUGCUUCAGGAACUCAGCCGACAGGUCGUAGAAACUGUUGAUGGAGUCCUUGGCCAACCUGGAGAACGAAGUUAAGACUGGUCCUCAGACACCUUUUACGAAUAGUUGGAAGA
rnacentral:lncRNA from 1 species